GGGCUGAUACUCAAGAGGCCGAAGAGGGCACCCUGCUAAGGUGUUAGGUCGGGUUACCGGCGCGAGAGUUCAAAUCUCUCUCAGCCCG
rnacentral:tRNA from 1 species